ensembl:lncRNA
CACAGCUAGGACAGAGAAAGAGUGCAGCACUUUUGGCAGUAGCACCAUCCUGCAUCUCUCUGCCGACAGUGACACCAGGCUGGAGUGAUGCUCUGUCUUGCAGUGCUGGAGAACUCCAACUGAAAGAUGCUGCAACACAGAAAAACAACAAACCCACCACAACCAUCGAAAAUGCUAUGUGUGGUUACACAGAAAGAAAGUGGACUUGGAUAUAGUACAGCUGAGAUGGAUAUGAAGAACUGAUCCCUGUCCUGGGAAGGCACUUCAUUCCAAUAUCCAUUUGCUGGAGAAUGUGUGAGCUAUGGCAGGGAGUUCUACUCCUUUCUAAUGCAGUUAAUUCAUUUAUCAAGCUGGAAGGUUCUCAGUUGAACAUUCCCACAAAGUACUGAGUGGCUACGAGAGGCUCUUCAUUUACGGCUGCUCCCAAGCCUUCAAGGACAUCUUGUAAAACUAAUGAACAACACAGUGAAAGCUGAACUUUGAAAAUGGAAGCAGUAAAGCCAUUUCUGUAUACAUAAAUGAUUCUAAUUAUGUAACAGAGUCUCCUGCAAGUUUAUCAG